rnacentral:tRNA from 1 species
GCCUGCGUGGCUAAGUCGAUUAAGCAUCUGACUCUUGAUUUCAGCUCAGGUUACGAUCUCAUGGUUUGUGGGUUCGAGCCCCACGUCAGGCU